GCUCGGUGGUCCCACUCUGAUUCCAUCCCGAACUCAGCUGUGAAACAUUGAUGCGGCGACGAUAGUUGGCGGGUAGCCGCCCGCGAAAAUAGCUCGAUGCCAGGU
rnacentral:rRNA from 1 species